rnacentral:rRNA from 1 species
UACGUAGGGUGCAAGCGUUGUCCGGAAUUAUUGGGCGUAAAGAGCUCGUAGGUGGCCUGUCGCGUCGGCUGUGAAAACUCGGGGCUCAACUCCGAGCUUGCAGUCGAUACGGGCAGGCUAGAGUUCGGCAGGGGAGACUGGAAUUCCUGGUGUAGCAGUGAAAUGCGUAGAUAUCAGGAGGAACACCGAUGGCGAAGGCAGGUCUCUGGGCUGACACUGACGCUCAUGCACGAAAGCGUGGGGAGCAAACAGG